CCUACGGGCGGCAGCAGUGAGGAAUAUUGGUCAAUGGGCGGGAGCCUGAACCAGCCAAGUCGCGUGAGGGAAGACGGUCCUAUGGAUUGUAAACCUCUUUAGGCGGGGAGCAAUGCCGGGCACGCGUGCCCGGAGGGAGAGUACCCGCAGAAUAAGCAUCGGCUAACUCCGUGCCAGCAGCCGCGGUAAUACGGAGGAUGCGAGCGUUGUCCGGAAUGACUGGGCGUAAAGGGAGUGUAGGCGGCAUAUUAAGUUAUGUGUGAAAGCCCGCGGCUCAACCGCGGAAUUGCACAUAAAACUGGUAAGCUGGAGUGCAGGAGAGGUAAGUGGAAGUCCCGGUGUAGCGGUGGAAUGCGUAGAUAUCGGGAGGAACACCAGAGGCGAAGGCGACUUACUGGACUGUAACUGACGCUGAGGCUCGAAAGCGUGGGGAGCAAACAGGAUUAGAUACCCCAGUAGUC
rnacentral:rRNA from 1 species